AUUGAACGCUGGCGGCAGGCUUAACACAUGCAAGUCGAACGAGUGGCGGACGGGUGAGUAAUGCUUGGGAAACUGCCUGAUGGAGGGGGAUAACUACUGGAAACGGUAGCUAAUACCGCAUACCAUCAGAUGUGCCCAGAUGGGAUUAGCUAGUAGGUGGGGUAACGGCUCACCUAGGCGACGAUCCCUAGCUGGUCUGAGAGGAUGAACAGCCACACUGGAACGUGGACACGGUCCAGACUCCUACGGGAGGCAGCAGUGGGGAAUAUUGCACAAUGGGCGCAAGCCUGAUGCAGCCAGGCCGCUUGUAUGAAGAAGGCCUUCGGGUUGUAAAGUACUUUCAGCGGGGAGGCGUUACCCGCAGAAGAAGCACCGGCUAACUCCGUGCCAGCAGCCGCGGUAAUUC
rnacentral:rRNA from 1 species